rnacentral:rRNA from 1 species
UAAAGACCCCGACUUCGGAAGGGGUGUAUUUAUUAGAUACAAAACCAAUGCCCUUCGGGGCUCUUUGGUGAUUCAUGAUAACUAUACGAAUCGCACGGCCUUGCGCCGGCGAUGGUUCAUUCAAAUUUCUUCCCUAUCAACUUUCGAUGUUUGGGUAUUGGCCAAACAUGGUUGCAACGGGUAACGGAGGGUUAGGGCUCGACCCCGGARAAGGAGCCUGAGAAACGGCUACUACAUCCAAGGAAGGCAGCAGGCGCGCAAAUUACCCAAUCCCGACUCGGGGAGGUAGUGACAAUAAAUACUGAUACAGGGCCCUUUCGGGCCUUGUAAUUGGAAUGAGUACAAUUUAAAUCCCUUAACGAGGAACAAUUGGAGGGCAAGUCUGGUGCCAGCAGCCGCGGUAAUUCCAGCUCCAAUAGCGUAUAUUAAAGUUGUUGUGGUUAAAAAGCUCGUAGUUGAACCUUGGGCCUGGCUGGCCGGUCCGCCUCACCGCGUGCACUGGUCCGGCCGGGCCUUUCCCUCUGUGGAACCCCAUACCCUUCACUGGGCGUGGCGGGGAAACAKGACAUWUACUUU